UACGAAGGGGGCUAGCGUUGUUCGGAUUUACUGGGCGUAAAGCGCAUGUAGGCGGAUUGUUAAGUCAGGGGUGAAAUCCCGAGGCUCAACCUCGGAACUGCCUUUGAUACUGGCAAUCUCGAGUCCGGGAGAGGUGAGUGGAAGUCCUAGUGUAGAGGUGAAAUUCGUAGAUAUUAGGAAGAACACCAGUGGCGAAGGCGGCUCACUGGACCGGUACUGACACUGAGGUGCGACAGCGUGGGGAGCAAACAGG
rnacentral:rRNA from 1 species